rnacentral:rRNA from 1 species
AGUGAACGCUGGCGGCAGGCCUAACACAUGCAAGUCGAACGGCAGCACCAGAGAUCUUGCUCUCUGGGUGGCGAGUGGCGGGCGGGUGGGGAAUGCAUCGGAAUCUUCCCAUUUGUGGGGGACAACCUCGGGAAACCGAGGCUAAUACCGCAUACGACCUGCGGGUGAAAGCGGGGGCUCUUCGGACCUUGCGCAGAUGGAUGAGCGGAUGCCGGCUUAGCUAGUUGGAGGGGUAAAGGCGCACCAAGGCGACGAUCCGUAGCUGGUCUGAGAGGAUGAUCAGCCACACUGGGACUGAGACACGGCCCAGACUCCUACGGGAGGCAGCAGUGGGGAAUAUUGGACAAGGGGCGCAAGCCUGAUCCAGCCAUGCCGCGUGUGUGAAGAAGGCCUUCGGGUUGUAAAGCACUUUUGUUGGGAAAGAAAAGCAGCCGGUUAAUACCCGGUUGUCAUGACGGUACCCAAAGAAUAAGCACCGGCUAACUUCGUG